rnacentral:rRNA from 1 species
UACGGGAGGCAGCAGUGGGGAAUAUUGCACAAUGGGCGCAAGCCUGAUGCAGCCAUGCCGCGUGUAUGAAGAAGGCCUUCGGGUUGUAAAGUACUUUCAGUCGUGAGGAAGGUGUUAAGGUUAAUAACCUUAGCAAUUGACGUUAGCGACAGAAGAAGCACCGGCUAACUCCGUGCCAGCAGCCGCGGUAAUACGGAGGGUGCGAGCGUUAAUCGGAAUUACUGGGCGUAAAGGGCACGCAGGCGGUUAAUUAAGUUGGAUGUGAAAUCCCCGGGCUUAACCUGGGAAUGGCAUUCAAGACUGGUUAGCUAGAGUCUUGUAGAGGGGGUAGAAUUCCAUGUGUAGCGGUGAAAUGCGUAGAGAUGUGGAGGAAUACCGGUGGCGAAAGGCGGCCCCUGGACAAAGGACUGACGCUCAUGUGCGAAAGCGUGGGGAGCAAACAGGGAUUAGAUAC